ACUGAGAAUCCAUUUGUCCUUUUUCAGGCACAGACAUUUCAGUGGGUGAAGAGGUGGCCAUUAAGUUGGAAUGUGUGAAGACCAAACACCCCCAGCUCCACAUCGAGAGCAAGAUCUACAAGAUGAUGCAAGGAGGAGUGGGCAUUCCAACCAUAAAGUGGUGUGGAGCAGAAGGAGACUACAACGUGAUGGUGAUGGAGCUGCUGGGGCCCAGUCUGGAGGAUCUCUUCAACUUCUGCUCUCGCAAGUUCAGCCUGAAGACAGUCCUGCUGCUCGCUGAUCAGAUGAUCAGUCGUAUUGAGUACAUUCACUCCAAGAACUUCAUCCACAGAGAUGUGAAGCCCGAUAACUUCCUGAUGGGUCUGGGCAAAAAGGGCAACUUGGUCUACAUCAUCGACUUUGGCCUGGCUAAAAAGUAUCGCGAUGCCAGAACACACCAGCACAUCCCCUACCGAGAGAACAAGAACCUGACCGGCACCGCCCGCUACGCCUCAAUCAACACACAUCUGGGGAUUGAACAGUCGAGGCGUGAUGACCUGGAGUCACUGGGCUAUGUUCUCAUGUAUUUUAACCUCGGCUCAUUGCCCUGGCAAGGCCUCAAGGCUGCUACCAAGAGACAGAAGUAUGAGCGGAUCAGUGAGAAGAAAAUGUCCACCCCCAUUGAGGUUCUUUGCAAGGGAUACCCCUCUGAGUUUGCAACCUACCUGAACUUCUGUCGCUCCCUGCGCUUCGAUGACAAGCCGGACUACUCGUACCUCCGGCAGCUCUUCAGGAACCUGUUCCACAGACAGGGCUUCUCCUACGACUAUGUGUUUGACUGGAACAUGCUCAAGUUUGGAGCCAACCGUGCAGCAGAGGAAGCAGAGAGGGAGCGGCGGGACCGGGAGGACAGGCUGAGGCACGGCAGGACCCCGGGGGCCAGAGCAGUCCCUGCUGCAUCAGGGCGGCCCCGAGCAGCCGUAGAGGGAGCCCCAGCCACCCCGCUAACACCCACCUCACACACAGCGAACACGUCCCCCCGACAAGUGUCCGGGAUGGAGCGUGAGAGAAAGGUCAGCAUGCGCCUGCACCGCGGAGCUCCUGUCAACGUGUCCUCCUCAGAUCUGACAGGACGGCAGGACACCUCCCGCAUGUCCACCUCACAGAAUAGUAUUCCCUACGAGCAUCACGCCAAGUAGACGCUCGCCACGUCCUUGUGUGACGGCAGCAACACUGGCCAGAAAAUGAUCUGAUAUUGUUACAAGCUACCAAUCAGCAAUCUCUAGUUACUACCAGCUGUUACUCCAGUUUAGAAAUGGGGUCGUUUUGAACAUGAUGUCCGGUGUACAGACCGCUGGUCUCCAUCUUCUUGCUCCUCGAUGAGCCUACCCACAAUGCACCCUGGCAGACCAGGCCCUUUCCACUAAGAAGCAAUCUUAAUAUUCUUACUAACUAAUAUUCCUAACUACAGCUACCAUUGGGAGCACCUUCUGACUCACUGCUUUCUGACUGCUCUCAGAACAGCUGUCUCAUUCAGACUCUGGUCCUCUCCCAGAACCUUUAACAGUGACCAGACCUCGGGAAGACUCCGUCUGCUUUUUAAGGAGACGUAAACAAACCACCACCACUAGAGUCUGAAUGGACAGUGCUGUGUCUGAGGCUAACAUGGCAGCUGGACUCACUGAUGAGAGUUUAGACUCCUUCCUCUGCAGAAGCAUCUGUCAUCGAGGACCCCACAUUUCCACUGCUACUUCGAUACCUGAUCAAUAAAAUCUUUCUUUUGUGCAGUAAAGUGUAUAAAAAUAAAGCAGCAGCUCUUCAUUUUAUAAAUAAAUAUAGGUAAUUUUUGGGGUGUGAUGCUUUUCACUUUUCAUUCCCACUGACCACUUUUCCUGAUUUAAUGAUGGCCACCACCACUGAUGGGGCUCUCUUCAGUAACUAUUUAGCCAUUUGUAUUAAAUAAAAAGAAAGUACUUCUUUGCAUGUUUUAGGGGUGAGCCUUCAGCGUCAGGUGUGGACUCGACUGCUAGUUGAACACCUGAACGUACCACUAAUCUGCUAUGGUAUGUUGGGUGAUGGAGGUUGUGUGUUUACACGCUAGUUGGCAAUAUGUUCUGUCUUCACCUCCAGGCUCCGGGUCCAAUGAGCCCGCUUCCCCUUCUAGUAUUUCCAUACUAGGAAGUGCACUUUACGUACGGGGCAAGGACAUCAUCUAGCAUAUUUUACCAGGUGUCCAUUCACUGUACAGAGAAACAUUUUUUCUUAUUUGUAUAAUUUCCAAGCUGUGAAUUACUUGUAAUAAUGUUGUAAAAAUGUUUGCUCAUCUGUCGAUGGGUGUGGCUUGCUCUAGGAACCUGAGUUUGAGAUGCCUAGAUGUAGUGUCCCAUCAGCUGGCCCCUACAGAGAGCGUGCUGUUGGCAGGGAAGAUGAAUGUGAAAUACUUUUUGUGCGCCAUGCUUGCUGUCACUGUUCUUGGUAUUAGAGGUUCAGUGAUCGACCACCAAUGUGACAAACUGCAGUAUCGGUACUGAAAUGCAUUCUUUGUGAAUCCUCUUAAACACUUUGAGAAAGCAUUCUUUGUUGAAAGGAAAGCUGAACUUCUACAGCAGCAGUGGGGUUUUGUUUUCAAUCUGGACACUUCUCUGCCAUGUCUUUCAGAAUGAAAUGGUUGUACUUCAUUCUUCCUGCUGCUGCUCCUCUAAUAUUGGAUUUUGACCCUUGACCUCUUCGGUCAGCCGCUUUACAUCGAGUGAAUUAUGUAAGCAAACAGAUCAGCGAGAUUUACUUUCUCAUAUUUAUAUUUGCCACUGUCUUUGUGUACUUAAACUGUAAAUAAAUGAAUUACUUGUACAUAG